AGUACUACGCCGGAUGAACGGGGGUCAGUGAUAUUGAUUUUAUGAAAGUUAUUAAGAUUUUUUAGUAUUA
rnacentral:tRNA from 1 species